UGAACACACAAAAAAAAGAAAAGGGUGCCCGGAGAGAUUUCGCUCAAUCUCCUGCCUACGUAUCUCAUAUGGUAUGAGAAUCAGGGCGACGUAGUUCCCCUUAACAGGGGUAAAACACUCUCCUAACCAGAGACCAGGGAAACAACAAACUAAUAGGGAGACUGGAACUCGAGCCUAAUAGUUGUCAUGCAAACAAAAUCCCUAAGUCGAGAAUAAGGGUAAGCAAACACAAAACAAAGAAAAAGGGUGCCCGGAGAGAUUGCUCAC
rnacentral:lncRNA from 1 species